CACGGCUGCCCGGCGAAGGAAACCGAAACCGAGUCCGGGCCCGUCCCUCCGCGGCCCCAUCCGCCCCGUGCACCCGGGGCCGCGCUCGCCAGGCCGCGGAGCCCAGAGCUGCGCGCACGAACCGGGCGCCGGGAGGGCGUGGCGCCGAAGGGUCCCGGGUCUUCGACGCCUCUGCGGCGGCUCCUCCCUCCUUGCAGUUGGAUCCCUGGCGGGUGCGGCUCGGCCCGGCCCGUGAGCGGCGCACAGAAUGGGCCGGUGCUGCUUCUACACGGCGGGGACGUUGUCCCUGCUCCUGCUGGUGACCAGCGUCACGCUGCUGGUGGCCCGGGUCUUCCAGAAGGCUGUAGACCAGAGUAUCGAGAAGAAAAUUGUGUUAAGGAAUGGUACUGAGGCAUUUGACUCCUGGGAGAAGCCCCCUCUGCCUGUGUAUACUCAGUUCUAUUUCUUCAAUGUCACCAAUCCAGAGGAGAUCCUCAGAGGGGAGACCCCUCGGGUGGAAGAAGUGGGGCCAUACACCUACAGGGAACUCAGAAACAAAGCAAAUAUUCAAUUUGGAGAUAAUGGAACAACAAUAUCUGCUGUUAGCAACAAGGCCUAUGUUUUUGAACGAGACCAAUCUGUUGGAGACCCUAAAAUUGACUUAAUUAGAACAUUAAAUAUUCCUGUAUUGGUAAGUAGGCAUUUUAAUACCAUUAAGUUGGAUUUUGGAAGAAAGGAAAAAGCUAAGUUAAUGCUCUUUAUGAUUUUACAUUUAGGAGCCAUUAAGUUAUGUUGAAAUAUACAUAUAUAAAAAGAAAAAUACUUUUUUUCUUUUCUUUAAAGUACAUCUUGGACUUUUUUCUAAGAUGUAUCAAAUAAGGUCUUUUCAAAUGAUGACAAAAUUCGGAUUUUAGGAUUUGUUUUCAUAAUUUCUUCCUGGGUGUUCAGGAUUAGCAAUUGUGCAAAUAAAUAUGCCCCUAGGAUUUUUUGGUAGCUAAUAAUUUUAAAAAUGUUUAUUUGCCCCUUGUUUUAAUUCAGAAAUUCUAUCAAUGAAAUUUGUAUACAUUUCUUACUUCAGAUUUUUAUGUUGGAUUUUAUACUCUCAAAAUUCAUAAAUUGACACCAGAAAUCAAUAGACUGGCAGCCUACUGUGAUUUCAGUGGGCUCUGUUUAUAAUGGUAAUUCUACCUAAUAACGACACCUAUUCUACAUCUAUUCUAUACUGAGACCCAUGAGACUUUCUUUUUUUUUUAAUUAAAUUAAUUUAUUUAUUAUUAAUUUUUUUUGAGACAGGGUCUUGCUCUGUCGCCCAGGCUGGAGUGCAGUCAGUGGCUCCAUCACAGCUCACUGAAGCUUCUACCUCCUGGGCUCCAGGGAUCCUCCUGUGUCGGCCAGGGACUCCAGGCGUGAACCACUGUGCCUGGGCUGGCCCAGUAAACAUUCUAAUUCACCUACACCAACCCCUGCCGACUCUCCCACCCUAACCCCUAGGUGACCGCUCCAUAUGCAGCUGGACACUGAUGAUGGACCCAGGACCUAGACAGUAUGAGGUCCCUGCCGCCUAGUCCCAGGGGUGUAGGUCGGGUUUAUAAUGAGCCUCUGGCCCUGCUUAGGCGGAAGGUAGCGCCACCUUGUGGCCAAAGAUGCCCACAUGUUUACAAGAGCUUUUCCCCUUUUGUGGUGUCUGGAUAACUCAGAGCCUGCAAAUGGUCUCUUUGUAAACAUUACACUUACAAAAUGCAGUACUGGGAAAGGACAGAGAAGAGGCUUUGUCUUCCAUAUGCAGCCAGAAAGGAGCUCACUGCCUGAUUUUUCAGCUAUUUAAUCUCAGCCUUUACAUUUAUAUUUCCAACCCCCUUUGCCAAGGGGUAUUAGGAGAGAGUGGAUGGAGGUGCUUUGGAGGGGAUGCUGCUGUCUUAAUAUACCUCUGCUCCGCAGACUGUCAUAGAGUGGUCCCAGGUGCGCUUCCUCAGGGAGAUCAUCGAGGCCAUGUUGAAAGCCUAUCAGCAGAAGCUCUUUGUGACUCACACAGUUGACGAAUUGCUCUGGGGCUACAAAGAUGAAAUCUUGUCCCUUAUCCAUGUUUUCAGGCCCGAUAUCUCUCCCUAUUUUGGCCUAUUCUAUGAGGUAAGUAGAUUUUUCUUUUCAGAACCUCUUUUUUUAGCUGACAGUGGGUUGGGGCACCCCAAGCCAGAUUAACUUUGAGUUUCUUCUAGAAAUUGCCUAGAGUUAAGAUAUCUUGUAGAGUGUGUGAAAAAUGGAGUGUUUUUUGGAAAGAAAAAAAACUUGAGGCCGGGUGCGGUGGCUAAUGCCUGUAAUUCCAGGACUUUGGGAGACCGAGGUGGGUGGAUCACUUGAGGUUAAGACUUUGAGACCAGCCUGGCCAACAUGGCAAAACUCUAUCUCUACUAAAAAUACAAAAAUUAGCCAGCUGUGGUGAUAUACACCUGUAAUCUCACCUACUCAGGAGACUGAGGCAGGUACGUUGCAUGAACCCAGGAGGCAGAGGUUGCAGUGAGCUGAAAUUACACCACUGUACUCCAGCCAGGGUGACAGAGCAAGACUC
rnacentral:sRNA from 1 species